CUUCAGCGAGCCGAGCAGCAACGGUUGUUCGCGGUCCUGGCCGUACGUGGCCAGCAGUGCCUGCGCCUC
rfam:Streptomyces sp. 769, complete genome.